GCCUCGGCAGCGCCCUUUCCAGGCUGCUGAGGUACGACUCUGUCAGAGACGUAGGUGAGCCUCUGUGAGCUGGGGACACAGGGGGGCUUCCUUCCUCCUGGCGGAGUUACGCUGAGUCAAGUGCAGGACAUGGGGUUCUUGGCCCCGCUGUGGAGCUGGUACCAUGCUUGGACUGACUACCUGCUUCUCCUUUAGGUGCCUAGUGUGCAUUUCUGCACCCAGUCAUGCCACAGAGAGCCUGGUUCUGCAGUGAAUUAAGCCCUGCAUCCCUCCACCAUUUAGACCCGAGAACUUGCCUUCUCAACCUACUCAGGCAGAAGUCCUAUAGAGAAGAGAGGAGGACCUCGCAAAAACCCUUGCAUUCCGCCAGAGACCAACAGCUCGAGGAAGUCUAUAGGAGCCUCCAGAACAAUUCAGCUCCCCUGGGAAAAGAGCCAGAUUGGCUGGAAGGCAGACACCUCAGUAUUUAAGGAGCCUGGAAUUUGGGUGUGUGCCAGCUAGACCGUGUCUUCAUGAUGACAACCCGGGGCAUGAGGCUCUAAGGAGGUUCCCACACUGAAAGGAAGGAGUAUAAUAAAGGCACAGCUGGUCCCAGCAUAGACUGGUACAUCUUAUCUGGAAAGGAAUGUGACAAAAUGUAUCCAAGCUCUCAAACCGAUUAUUCCCUUUGAUGCAGUAAUUCUCAGAACUCCAUUCUAAGGAAAUAAUUAAAGAUAUAAACAAGGACUGAUAAAAUAAUGAUGUUCAUCCAAACCUUAUUUAAAAGAAUGUAAAACUCCCGGCAAACUACACAUCCCAGAUUAUGUAUUAAAUGUAGUACAAUCGUGUGAUGUUAUGCUGUCUUUUAAAUAUUUGUUGUGAGGAUAUGUGACACCAGGGAAAUAUGCUCUUAAUAACCACAAGAGAAAGAAAAAGAAUAUGAAAACUCUCUACAGUGUGCUUUUUGCUUUGAAGAAAACAACAGUGCUGUGUGAAUAUACACGUGCAAAUAUUUGGGGAGGACUAGAAAAGAAGAUGGAAGAAAAUGUAUCAGAGUAUCGCUAGAAGCUGAUCUGUGCAUGGUGGGGUGAUGUACGAGAGUUAUUUCCUUAGCCUCUGUCCCUGUUGGAAGCCAGCUCACCUGCA